rnacentral:rRNA from 1 species
UUUUUGAAUWUUAAUAAUAUAAAGUYUAAUUUGCUCCAUGAUUUAUAAUUAAAUAGCUGCAGUAUAUUAACUGUACAAAGGUAGCAUAAUCAAUAGUUUUUUAAUUAAAAGCUGGAAUGAAUGAUUUGAUAAGGUAAAUAUUGUCUCAAAUUUAAUAAUAUUAUAAUUUUUUUUUUUAGUAAAAAUACUAAAAUAGAUUUAAAAGACGAGAAGACCCUAUAGAUUUUUAUAUUUAAAUAAUUUAUUGAUUUAAAUAAAAUUUUUAUUAAAAAUAUUUAAAUAUUUGAUUGGGGAAAUUAUUAAAUUAAUAAAAUUUUAAUUUUUAAUAAACAAAAAUUAUUGAAAUUUUGAUCUUAAUAUAUAAAAUAAAAGAAUAAAUUACCUUAGGGAUAACAGCGUAAUUUUUUUAAAGAGAUCAUAUUGAUAAAAAAGUUUGCGACCUCGAUGUUGAAUUAAGAUAAAAUUUUAAUGAAGAAGUUAAAAA